AAUCGAAUUUGAUUCGUCCGCCUGCUCAAAUCACGUGAUGUGCAUCAAUUGACCAUUCAAAGAAACCGCUGAAGGAUAUCGCACUCACGAAUCAAUCGUGUUUAAGAGGAAAAGCAAAAAAAUCUGUCAGUCUCUGCAAGAUUCUCUCAAGUCGCAUAGAGUUUUUGACUUAGCUUUUGCUCCGUUCUUCGUUCUUCGUCGUCGUUAUCUUGCCUCGUGCUUAUUUCACCUGUGCCAUAAUCCCUUCAUAAUGCCAUCGGCAUUCGAUCUCCCUGUUAAGGCUAAUCAACCAAACCGUACAGCUGGAACUGUGUGGAGCUGGAACUGUGUGGAGCUGGAACUGUGUGGAGCUACACAGUACAGGAGCGGAGGAUAGGAAGACGCCCCCUGGUCGUGAUGACCAAGAGUGCUGGGAACACCGUCAUCAACAUGUUGCACCGUGAGAAUUGUUGUGCGGAGGUUGUUCCUGCUUAUCUCCAACAGCAAUUUGAGCGGCGUAGGAGGACGGACAAGGGUGGAGGAGCACGAGCAAGUUUACUCAAGACUUAGGUCGCCACUGCUAAGCUUGCCGCAGUUAGGGAGCAUUGUCGUGCCGCCAAUCGGGUAAACCAGAACCUGCACAGUUUGACCAAAGUCAAGGCAAUGUGCGAUUAUAGCCUGGAGUGAGUAAAAUGUCUAUGUUUCCCUUUUUUAAGGUAUUGUACAACCCCCCCCCCCCCC